GACUUGGUGGCUUUGUGGGAAAAGCCUUGCCUCCAAUACAGGAGGUUGCCGGUUCAAAUCUGGCCAGGUCU
rnacentral:tRNA from 1 species